rnacentral:rRNA from 1 species
UACGUAGGGUGCAAGCGUUGUCCGGAAUUAUUGGGCGUAAAGAGCUCGUAGGCGGUCUGUCGCGUCGGCUGUGAAAUCCCGAGGCUCAACCUCGGGUCUGCAGUCGAUACGGGCAAACUAGAGUAUUGCAGGGGAGACUGGAAUUCCUGGUGUAGCGGUGAAAUGCGCAGAUAUCAGGAGGAACACCGGUGGCGAAGGCGGGUCUCUGGGCCGAAAUUGACGCUGAGGAGCGAAAAGCGUGGGGGAGCAAACAGG